AUUGAACGCUGGCGGCAUGCUUUACACAUGCAAGUCGAGCGGUAACAGGCCGCAAGGUGCUGACGAGUGGCGAACGGGUGAGUAAUGCAUCGGAACGUGCCCAGUCGUGGGGGAUAACUGCUCGAAAGAGCAGCUAAUACCGCAUACGAUCUAUGGAUGAAAGCGGGGGACCGUAAGGCCUCGCGCGAUUGGAGCGGCCGAUGUCAGAUUAGGUAGUUGGUGGGGUAAAGGCUCACCAAGCCAACGAUCUGUAGCUGGUCUGAGAGGACGACCAGCCACACUGGGACUGAGACACGGCCCAGACGCCUACGGGAGGCAGCAGUGGGGAAUUUUGGACAAUGGGGGCAACCCUGAUCCAGCAAUGCCGCGUGCAGGAAGAAGGCCUUCGGGUUGUAAACUGCUUUUGUACGGAACGAAACGGUCUGGGUUAAUACCCUGGGCUAAUGACGGUACCGUAAGAAUAAGCACCGGCUAACUACGUGCCAGCCGCCGCCGUAACAC
rnacentral:rRNA from 1 species